rnacentral:lncRNA from 1 species
CGCUGCCUUUCUAGCUUUAGCUUUCCCAGCUUUUCAGGUGUCAAGCCAGAAAACAAAGCAAAUCUUCAGUGAUCUGGCCUAACCUGCACUGUUUGUCCCAUUUCCACAAGCCCAUCAGGUCUGAGCGUGGCCAGACUUUUCCUGUCCUGUGUCUCCUGUGCACUGCACAUUUGUCUGUGGUGCCCGCAGCACUGACUUUCUCAGGAAUGGUCAGCCUCCUCUCUCUCCUUGGGCCUCUCAGUGUCUGUACACAGGUUUAUUUUUUAUAUGAAGGCUCUAAGUCAGGCCAAGUUGUAUUUCUUUAUCUUGCUGACCUCUCUUGUCCACUGCUGGAGAACAAGGAUCUCCCCCUAUCUGUGACUUGGACCGUGGUCUGCACUUACGUGGGCGGUAAGCCAGAGACAGAAAACAUUUAAGGUCAUUUCAAAGGCAGUGUGCAAACGCAUCCUAAAAUGAACAUCUUCAGUUGAUGAUAUUAAUGCCACAGAGGAAAGUGCUGUGGGACCAACACUGGAAAGAGUAACUGCCGCAGUUUUACAAUUUGAAUGAUGAUGAUAUCAGUGACAACGAUGAAAUUUUGCAUCUCUUUUAAUAGACUAUGAAACAAUGUCACAGACCUUGUCAUUGUCAAAAGCAUCUUAAGGGAGAUGGUAGGGUUGGUCUUUGUGGGAUUUCAAACAGUUUAUGAAACUUUAAGUCUUUGCAGAGCUUUGAGUGGAAUCAAGGUAGGAAAAUCUAGGCCUUGAUCUUCUGGCAAACUGUGUAAUUUAUAAUUUAUAAUUUUAGAGAAAUUGUUGCCUUUCUGUACAAUUGUGUUCAAAAUGAUACAAUUUUAGGUUGAAUUAUUUAAAGUAAGUCGUAUCUUCUUACUCUAGCUAGAUUUGAAAGUUUUACCAUGGAUGUCGUCGACUUAGGAAGAUUUAUAACUGGAAGGAGCUUGACGUAGUUAUAGAGAACUUUUCAUUUGUAGAGAAUGUUGCAUUUCAUUAUUCAUGUGUUUCUCCAAACAGUGGCCUGCUGGAUAGCAACUCGGAGGAACACUCAGAAGGAGAAUACGGACAGGGCUGAGUCCAUGUUUAAGCUGGAAACUUUGGUGCUUCUCUGAGUCGAUCAAGAUGCUUUCUGAUAGAUUUACAGGGUCUCCACAACUCGGAAACAAACUAUAACAAGGCCUCACUAAUACAGCAAAUAAACUUUUCUAUAAGUAUUCA